rnacentral:tRNA from 2 species
ACUAAGAUGUCUGAUUUAAGUAGUAAACUGUAAAUUUAUUUAAAGGUUUUACCUUCUUAGUA